UUUUGUACUAGCUUAGAAUUUGAAACAGUUUCUUGUAGAAUCCACCAAAACUUUUUGCAUAUAACGAUGAUUUUGUUGUAAUUAUCAUAACAGAGGGACAUUAGGUUUUCUCCAAAUCCAUCUGUCAGCUAAACUAUAUCCUGUGAUAACAUUAAAAGUACUGAAAAUAAUUGGAUAAAACAUGCUAUACUUAACAAUAAACCUAAUGAUAAUAUAUAACAACUUUAUGUCUGCUGAAAAUGGGGGACUUGUCAUAGCACUUUGUCUGUUUGUCAGAAUUCUGAGUUUGAUUUUACUAAAGUUGCAUUGAUGGGGGUAAAAUUGUUCUAUCUCACUUACUAGUAUUACUCAAGCGUCAUCCAUCUGUCCUCUGUUUGUUAUGUAUCUCUGUUUUGAGUUAGAUUUUAGAAACCAAAAAUGCUAAUUUGAUGAAACUUCAUACCAAGUAUCUCUAUACAAUUUACUUAUGAAUAAUACUUUUUAGCUCUAGUAAACUGCAGGUUUGUUUUAGUGACGUAAGCAUGAAAUUCAAAAACAUAAGCAAAAAUAUUUGUUAUUUAGGUUUUGAGCCAGAGAUAGUUUUUAGUUGUUCCAAACUAAGGUUAAAACCACGUUUUGCAAGCCACUUUUGUGAGGUACUAUGAACGAAAAAGAGCUGUAUCAUUUAUGCCAGAGGUUUGAGUUCUUCAUUUAUAUAAUGAAUAUAUUCAUUCACAAAUGGACACAAUGUGAAUAAUGUGUUUAAUGGAAUAUUUUGUAUGGGAGGUUAUAAAGAAAAAAGCAAUAAACAAUUGCUUAACCCUUUCAGUGCGGGAACCGGAUUUUAAAGGCCUUUGCAAACAGUUUGCCACAGAACGUGGCGUCUCAUCAGGAUCCAAACUGUUUGCUGUUCUGAUAGUAUUCUUUGAAAAAAAUCGAAGAAAAUGCUAAUUUUAGAAAUUCUGCAGACGACAAUUUAGCAGACGACAAAUUUCCCAGCAUGCAGAGGGUUAAUUAUAUGUGUCGAGGCACAGCAUAGGUCAUUCAAAAUCUGGGGCUAUUAAUAGAUAAGGAAAAAAACAACAGCUGAUCAUCAAGUAUAGUGGUUUAUGGAGAGUCCACUCCAAUACACUAUCACAUGUCUGUCUUGUAAUCUUGUUGAAAGUUCAUGCUAGUACAGCGGUAUUAAAUUUGAUAUGUCUGGGAAACUUUCUUUUGUUCUCAACAGGUAGCCACGAUCUCUCCUGUAUUCUCAAUUGAACGGGUGAUAACAACGCAAUAGUAUAAGGUUAAGUUUGUUUAUAUGCACUGUUCUCAAUUCAUAAAUUUUUGAACACGAGUUCACCAAUAAUUACAGGCAUACUAUUGACAACGACAAAAAUGCUUUAUUUUUGCUUAAACGGAAUAUAAAAAGCAACUAAAUAUAACAAGAAAUAAAAAUAAAAAAAAGAUAUUUGCAUAAAUGCUAACUUUGAAAUCAAGUUUAAGAAUUUAUGUUCCUAGAUUAUGAAAUUGAAAACAAAAGUUUUUAUUAGUGUGGAUUUGUUUUCACUUGUGAGUCGCAUUUUCACCGCAUGAAAUGUGUGUUGUUAUAGUCGAAUCACACUUAUUUGUUUUAUUAGAUAAAAACUAUUUUAGGGAAGAUCAUAUGUGUCGUCACAUGGCUUAUUAUGAGUUUAUUUCUUUACACUGGAAACAUAUUGUAUGUUAAUAUUUGAUUAACACGCAGUUUUCUUUCGACACAUUCAAAUCACACUUUCAUAGCUGGGUCAUGGGAAAAUGGGUCUUAUGGCAUUUGGGCCAGCAUAGCUCAAACCCAGGCUGUGCAUUAUGUUAUUCCUGACCGAGGGAUGUGCAGGCUGGGUGGGUUAUAGCUAUGAUUGGCGCAUAUUGCAUAAGACCAAUUUUUGCAUGAUGUGUAUCUUUAAAAUCUCGUUACAAAUUGUAAAUGGCACAUUUAAGCACAAUUCUUUUUGAUUUAAAGUGACUUCAAAGUAGCGAAUGUAGCCAACUGGCAAAUAAGGAUAGCUUAUUCAGGCCUUCAGGAACGAUUUCCAGACAUGCUGACAGAGUAAGGGAAACCUGUAUGAUGAGAUAAUUAAACAAUAUUACUCUUAUUCUGACAGUAUACUUUUUAUGUCCCCCACUAUAGUAGUGGGGGACAUAUUGUUUUUGCCCUGUCUGUUGGUCUGUUUGCGCCAACUUUAACAUUUUGCAAUAACUUUUGCUAUAUUGAAGAUAGCAACUUCAUAUUUGGCAUGCAUGUGUAUCUCAUGAAGCUGCACAUUUUGAGUGGUGAAAGGUCAAAGUCAAGGUCAUCCUUCAAGGUCAGAGGUCAAAUAUAUGUGGCCGAAAUCGCUCAUUUUAUGAAUACUUUUGCAAUAUUGAAGAUAGCAAGUUGAUAUUUGGCAUGCAUGUGUAUCUCAUGGAGCUGCACAUUUUGAGUGGUGAAAUGUCAAGGUCAAGGUCAUCCUUCAAGGUCAGAGGUCAAAUAUAUGUGGCCCAAAUCGCUUAUUUUAUAAAUACUUUUGCAAUAUUGAAGAUAGCAACUUGAUAUUUGGCAUGCAUGUGUAUCUCAUGGAGCUGCACAUUUUGAGUGGUAAAGAUCAAUGUCAAGGUCAUCCUUCAAGGUCAGAGGUCAAAUAUAUGUGGCCCAAAUCGCUUAUUUUAUGAAUACUUUUGCAAUAUUGAAGAUAGCAACUUGAUAUUUGGCAUGCAUGUGUAUCUCAUGGAGCUGCACAUUUUGAUUGGUGAAAGGUCAAGCUCAAGGUCAUCCUUCACAAGGUCAAGGUCAUUCUCCAAGGUCAAACUUCAUAUAGGGGGACAUUGUGUUUCACAAACACAUCUUGUUCAGAAGUUUUUUUUCUCAUUUUGAAAGCAAAACUGUGUUUAUCGAUAGUCAGUUAUGUCUUCCCCUGAUGAUUUAGUGACUGAGUACAGACCAUGAAAUUCUGCGUGAUGGAUUUUAAUGUGUAAUUGUAAGUGAGCCACAGUGUGUGUCUAUGUGAAACUUGAACAUGCAGGUAAUUGUAAGUGAGCCACAGUGUGUGUCUAUGUGACACUUGAACAUGUUGAGAGUUGUAAGUGAGCCACAAUGUGUGUCUAUGUGACACUUGAACAUGCAGGUAAUUGUAAGUGAGCCACAGUGUGUGUCUAUGUGACACUUGAACAUGCAGGUAAUUGUAAGUGAGCCACAGUGUGUGUCUAUGUGACACUUGAACAUGCAGGUAAUUGUAAGUGAGCCACAGUGUGUGUCUAUGUGACACUUGAACAUGCAGGUAAUUGUAAGUGAGCCACAGUGUGUGUCUAUGUGACACUUGAACAUGCAGGAAAUUGUAAGUGAGCCACAGUGUGUGUCUAUGUGACACUUGAACAUGCAGGUAAUUGUAAGUGAGCCACAGUGUGUGUCUAUGUGACACUUGAACAUGCAGAGAGUUGUAAGUGAGCCACAGUGUGUGUCUAUGUGAAACUUGAACAUGCAGAGAGUUUUAAGUGAGCCACAGUGUGUGUCUAUGUGACACUUGAACACGUGAGCCACAAUGUGUGUCUAUGUGACACUUGAACAUGCAGAGAGUUGUCCUGAAUUCUUUACACUGAAGAGUGUUGCAUCCUUUACGAUGUGCACAGGCACAGUUAAGUAGCCAAAGUUCAGGGUCAUUCCUGUCUGCUGGUGUUAUGUUAAGGUUAUUUAAGGUGAAAAGCUAGGUAAAACAGCUUCACCAAAAAAGCGCAUUAGUGUUCUAUACUGAAGUUAAGGUCAGCGACUGUUUGUCACCAUGUGAACUACUAGGUAAAUAAGUAAUGCAACAAUUUUAAAGUAUAUGUACAGGUCAACAGGGAUUAUUAAUGACUUCCUAAUUCAUGAGUAAAAAGUAUUUUGCGCGCAGAUUUAUUAUGCCCCCCUUCGAAGAAGAGGGGGUAUAUUGCUUUGCUCAUGUCGGUCGGUCGGUUGGUCUGUCUGUCGGUCCGUCCACCAGGUGGUUGUCAGACGAUAACUCAAGAACCCUUGGGCCUAGGAUCAUGAAACUUCAUAGGUACAUUGAUCAUGACUCGCAGAUGACCCCUAUUGAUUUUGAGGUCACUAGGUCAAAGGUCAAGGUCACGGUGACCUGAAAUAGUAAAAUGGUUUUCGGAUGAUAACUCAAGAACACAUACGCCUAGGAUCAUGAAACUUCAUAGGUAGAUUGAUCAUGACUUGCAGAUGACCCCUAUUGAUUUUGAGGUCACAAGGUCAAAGGUCAAGGUCACGGUGACCCGGAAUAGUAAAAUGAUUUUCGGAUGAUAACUCAAGAACGCUUUUGCCUAGGAUCAUGACACUUAAUAGGUACAUUGAUCGUGACCCGCAGAUGACCCCUAUUGAUUUUCAGGUCACUAGGUCAAAGGUCAAGGUCACAGUGACAAAAAUCGUAUUCACACAAUGGCUGCCACUACAACGGACAGCCCAUAUGGGGGGCAUUCAUGUUUUACAAACAGCCCUUGUUUAUUAUUUAUUUUCAUCUAGUGUCUUUAUUAUGUAUAUGGUGUCAAAAAACAAAAGUUUUGUAAAGGGAAUUUCCAUCAUAAUAUUAUAUUCUUAGUGUGAUAGGUAUUCGAUAUUCCAACAAUUUCAUUUAAUAUGAUGGUGAUUGCAAAAUUUAUUUUAUAUUAACUGAUUCUUAUAAUACCAUUUUGAUAAUAUUUUUUAUGCUUUCAGAACGUCAUAAAAGGGACAUUAUGUUAUAUUUCCUAAGUUAUCUCUAUAACAUAAAUAGGAUAGACACACUCUUUAUACAUGUGAAUGGGAUGUGUUUAUUUCAAACUUGCAAUUUAAAUAUGUAUAAACUAAUUGUGAAAAAAGAGUUGCAGCUAAGAUUAUGCAAUAUCAAACAACUUAAGUGCCUUUAGCGUUUUGAUUUUUGUCAGAAAAAGCAACAUGUCCAAAUUAAAGUGUUUUAAAUUCCUCAUACUUCUAUUCCAUUAUUAUUACUGAGCCUAAUCAUGACACUUGGCCUUAGAAUAUGUCCAAUCAGUGUAGCACCUGAUAUUCCCUGCAACUGUUUACUUUUAUGAGGAGUUAUAAUAUCCUGAUCCACUUACAAUAAAAGCUAGUGUAACUUAAAAGCAGGCAGGGUGACAACUGAGCAGUCUAGGUCAGUAGCAGUAGCACAUGGCAUGCUGCUCUGU